GUGGGGAAUAUUGCACAAUGGGCGCAAGCCUGAUGCAGCAACGCCGCGUGAGGGACGACGGCCUUCGGGUUGUAAACCUCUUUUAGUAGGGAAGAAGCGAAAGUGACGGUACCUGCAGAAAAAGCACCGGCUAACUACGUGCCAGCAGCCGCGGUAAUACGUAGGGUGCAAGCGUUAUCCGGAAUUAUUGGGCGUAAAGAGCUCGUAGGCGGUUUGUCACGUCUGCUGUGAAAACUGGAGGCUCAACCUCCAGCCUGCAGUGGGUACGGGCAGACUAGAGGGCGGUAGGGGAGAUUGGAAUUCCUGGUGUAGCGGUGGAAUGCGCAGAUAUCAGGAGGAACACCGAUGGCGAAGGCAGAUCUCUGGGCCGUAACUGACGCUGAGGAGCGAAAGCGUGGGGAGCGAACAGGAUUAGAUACCCCGGUAGUCC
rnacentral:rRNA from 1 species